rnacentral:rRNA from 1 species
CCUACGGGAGGCAGCAGUGGGGAAUUUUGGACAAUGGGCGCAAGCCUGAUCCAGCCAUGCCGCGUGUGUGAAGAAGGCCUUCGGGUUGUAAAGCACUUUCGGCCGGAACGAAAUCGCGCGGGUUAAUAGUCCGCGUGGAUGACGGUACCGGAAGAAGAAGCACCGGCUAACUACGUGCCAGCAGCCGCGGUAAUACGUAGGGUGCGAGCGUUAAUCGGAAUUACUGGGCGUAAAGGGUGCGCAGGCGGCGUCGCAAGUCAGGCGUGAAAUCCCCGGGCUUAACCUGGGAAUGGCACUUGAAACUACGAUGCUGGAGUAUGGCAGAGGGAGGUGGAAUUCCACGUGUAGCGGUGAAAUGCGUAGAGAUGUGGAGGAACACCGAUGGCGAAGGCAGCCUCCUGGGCCAAUACUGACGCUCAUGCACGAAAGCGUGGGGAGCAAACAGGAUUAGAUACCCUGGUAGUCCACGCCCUAAACGAUGAUGACUAGUUGUUGGAGGAGUUAAAUCCUUUAGUAACGCAGCUAACGCGAGAAGUCAUCCGCCUGGGGAGUACGGUCGCAAGAUUAAAACUCAAAGGAAUUGACGG